UACGUAGGGUGCGAGCGUUUGUCCGGAAUUACUGGGCGUAAAGAGUUCGUAGGCGGUUUGUCGCGUCGUUCGUGAAAACUUGGGGCUUAACUCCAAGCGUGCGGGCGAUACGGGCAGACUUGAGUACUACAGGGGAGACUGGAAUUCCUGGUGUAGCAGUGAAAUGCGUAGAUAUCAGGAGGAACACCGAUGGCGAAGGCAGGUCUCUGGGCUGACACUGACGCUCA
rnacentral:rRNA from 1 species